rnacentral:lncRNA from 1 species
GGAGCUUUAAUUUUACAGAGGGUAAAUUUUAGAUGUGGGUUUUGGAGCUUCAAUUUUAAACUGAAAAAAAUGAGAAAAAUGGUGGUGGUGAGCAGGUGAGGGUGGAUUUAAAGUGGGAGGUGGUGCUGUUGGAAGAAGAAAGGGAAAGAAGGGUCGUGGAAGAAGAAAGAGGGAUGUGCUGUUGGAAGAAGAUUGAGGCUCCCAUGGUAGAAGAAAAAAUGAUGCAGUAAGGGAGGAAGAAGAUGAAGAAAUCAAAACAAAA